rnacentral:rRNA from 1 species
GUGAGGAAUAUUGGGCAAUGGGGGAAACCCUGACCCAGCGACGCCGCGUGAGGGAAGAAGGUCUUCGGAUUGUAAACCUCUGUCUUCGGGGACGAUAAUGACGGUACCCGGGGAGGAAGCCACGGCUAACUACGUGCCAGCAGCCGCGGUAAAACGUAGGUGGCAAGCGUUGUCCGGAAUUACUGGGUGUAAAGGGAGCGCAGGUGGGGCUGUAAGUCGAAUGUGAAAUCUAUGGGCUCAACUCAUAAAUUGCGUUCGAUACUAUAGUUCUUGAGUGGAGUAGAGGCAGGCGGAAUUCCCGGUGUAGCGGUGGAAUGCGUAGAUAUCGGGAGGAACACCAGUGGCGAAGGCGGCCUGCUGGGCUUUAACUGACACUGAGGCUCGAAAGCGUGGGUAGCAAACAGGAUUAGAAACCCUGGUAGUCC